GACGAACGCUGGCGGCGUGCUUAACACAUGCAAGUCGAACGGAAAGGCCCUGCUUGCAGGGUACUCGAGUGGCGAACGGGUGAGUAACACGUGGGUGAGCUGCCCUGCACUUCGGGAUAAGCCUGGGAAACUGGGUCUAAUACCGGAUAGGAGCCAUUUUUAGUGUGAGGGGGGGAAAGUUUUUUCGGUGUGGGAGGAGCUCGCGGCCUAUCAGCUUGUUGGGGGGGUAAUGGCCUACCAAGGCGGCGACGGGUAGCCGGCCUGAGAGGGUGGACGGCCACAUUGGGACUGAGAUACGGCCCAGACUCCUACGGGAGGCAGCAGUGGGGAAUAUUGCACAAUGGGCGCAAGCCUGAUGCAGCGACGCCGCGUGGGGGAUGACGGCCUUCGGGUUGUAAACUCCUUUCGCUAGGGACGAAGCUUUUUGUGACGGUACCUAGAUAAGAAGCACCGGCUAACUACGUG
rnacentral:rRNA from 1 species